rnacentral:lncRNA from 1 species
GUGCAAACAGAUCUCUUUGGAAGCAAUAAAUGCUUGGAGAGAGACUGAAGAGGAGCAGAUCACACUGUGUCCCAAUGCCCACUGCACAGCUCACACUUCCAAGAGGAUCAUUCCCUCUGUUCUAACACUGCUGAAAAUCAGGACUGCCCCACACCUGAGUGUUUUAGGGUGGAGAGGGUGAUUCUCAGGGAGAAAAGGAAGUGUCAGUGUAGCACACAGCUGCUCAGGAGAGUAGUUUGGACCUGCAAAAGAAUGGUUGUGUUGCCCUGUACAGGGCCAGGAGUUGGGCUUUGAAGAUUCCUGUGACCUUGUUGGUGAGGUGAGAACCCUCUGUCAGGGGGUCACCUUUGCAUGUUUCCCUGACACAAGACCACUGGAGAGGGUGGGCUGUGAAAUUGCCUCUGAGAGGGAGCACAGAUGUGACAUCAGGGCAGAACCAGGUGGAGGGGACCAAACUGCCCACACUGUUGAUUCCCAGAGAGGCUUUUUGGUGCCAGAAAAAUGCCACUUACUUGCAUUCAACAGCACCCCCUGAUGACAAGGUGUGUCCACAGGAUUUUACCAGCCUGUACUGUGCUGAAGGCACAAAGGUUUUGGCAGUGAACCAAGGAAUUGUUGUUCCAGUGCGUGAGGUGGCUUUACUGAACACAUGGCUGUGCUUCCACAUGGAACUAAAAUUGUGCCAUUCCACCCUGUUUACUCCAUGGAAAAUAAAUCCUGGGCCUAUUUUUAUAAGAUCCCAGUUGUGUCCAAAGUGGCACAGCAGAGCAGCCCAUUUUCAUAAAAUUUAAAUAUUCAGGAUGGGCCUGUUCAAGCUGUGGGAUAUUUGCAGUGAGGAUGUUAUUAAUCCUGAGAGAAUCUGGGAUAAUAUUUUCCAAAGGGGACAAACUCUCCCUUUCAGGAGUUAUUAAGGUGCUCCACCAUCUGUGUGUCAGCAAAAGGGAAGGUGAAAUUUAGUUACAAUGUUCUCAUGAGACAACAGUGAUAAACUAUUGGAGUUCAUAUAUAUAUAUAUGUAUGUAUGUAUGUAUGUAUACACACAUUCUUUGCUGGAUACAGAAAUGUGCUGAUGUUUAAUGUCCCUGCCUCCCUGAAGAAUUCUUCAGGUUCCCACAUUUUUAUCCCCAAAAAUGCCAUGCUUUGGGAAUGUUCCGAGCAGCUUGUAUCUCUCCAGUGAGGAGUCCAGCCACAACCAAAAGUAUCAGACAACAGGACUGAGCCAGACGUGUUCCAGUGACAAAUUUAAACUCAGUCAUAGUAGUUUGACUUUAUUAUGCUUUUAUAAGUGGGAGGAUAACCCCAACAAAAUAUUUGUCAUGGUAGUCCAGGAAGAAGGAAUUUCUUAGGUGUUUAACAUCAUCCAGAGGGAUGGCAGGACUAAAAUGUGGAAACUACAAGUGAAGGGUCACAUGAAAGUAUGGAUGAACAUUAAUGCAGCACCAUUUCACAGCUGUAGCUGAGCCAGAGCAGGGCCAGGCUGGAGAUCAGGGAAAGGUUCUUCCCCCAGAGGGUGGUGGGCA